AUCUUGGCGUGUGUUCUGCUUCAUUGCGAUCUGUCUCGAGUCUGUCUGUCUGUCUGUGCGCUGUGUCAGGCCUUUCAAGAUGGGAGAGUAUAAAUAGCCGAGCUUACUAUAAACGAAAUGACAUGCCCAGUUUGCCCACCGCUAUUCUUGCCAUUUCGUCUGAUCAUUGUGAACUUAACCAUUACUACUACAAACACCUCUCCUUCCCUUUCUUGUCCCUUUCUUCCUUAUCUUAGCUCUUCCUCUUCUUAAUAAACACACUGAGUCAACGUUAAAUCUACUUCUAUCAUGCGUUUUCAUUUAUGCACUGUACACUAAGUCAUAACUACCCCCAUCGUUCCCUUUCUUGUCCGUCUGUAGCUCUUCCUCUCCUUACUAAAAAGACUAAAUCAACAUUAAAUCUACUUCCAAAGGCUGUUUCUCCUUAUACAUUGUGCAACCAGUCACUACUACCUAUCAUUUCCCUUCUUAGUCCAUCUUCCGUAUCUUAGCUCUUCCUCUCAACUCACUAAAAAGACUAAAUCAACAUUAAAACUACUGACAUUCACUGUUUCUCCUUAAACAUUGUGCAGCCAGUCACUACUACCUACCAUCUCCCUGUCUAGUCCAUCUUCCGUAUCUUAGCUCUUCUUCAACUCACUAAAAAGACUAAAUCAACAUUAAAACUACUUACAUUCACUGUUUCUCCUUUAACAUUGUGCAGCCAGUCACUACUACCUACCAUCUCCCUGUCUAGUCUAUCUUCCGUAGUGUAGAUCUUCCACAACUCCCUAAAAAGACUAAAUGAACACUAAAUCUUCUUUCAUAUGCUGUUUCUCCUUAUAUAUUGUACAGCCAGUUAUGACUACCACCAAUUUCCCUUCCUAGUCCGUCAUCACUGUCUUAGCUCUUCCACAACUCGCUAAAACGACACAUCAACAUCCUUACUCAGCAAUGAUGCACAAAAACAGUUUAGUCUGCCUUGUAUCCGUUCGUUGUCUCUCUCUCACUCCACUAAGUUCAUUUUCGCUCCUUCUUCCUCUUCCUCCUCCUCCCCCUGGGUGAGUCAGAAGCCUUCCUCCAGCGAAAAAAAUGAGCUAAAUCAGAAAAUGAGUCGUUCCUGUAACUAUGAGCCCCACCAUCACGGCCUCAACCCCAUCACCACCUGGCUGCCCUCCUCUUCUCUCCCUUCCCUCCCUCCCAUCACGCGCCGUCCGCCCUCCUUCCAUCUCCUGCCUUGCCUCGCGUCCCAGCCUACCCGUUAUCCGCCUGGCUGUUUGUGUUACCUGUCUGCAGUGUAUGAUGACUAACCAGCCUUCUUUACAGCACUUUACCCUAACACAUCCUCUUCAAGCAAACAAGUAUCUCUUUAGUGUGUGUUUAGAGGGAUCGGAAGGCUUUUGUUGGGGGAUGCUGCCCAUUCCGUCAUGUAAUUGAUAUCUUUAUGACUCUAUGGUUUAUUCAUUGCACGUAUCGCGGUCAACGUCCUCCCUCCCUGAAGCUAAGUGAAGAUGCACGGGGCGUUCUCCGAAAAAGACGCGGUGUUUUCUCCACGGUAAACUGAUAAAGAGGAGGUCAAAAAACGGCAGAGGAUGGAAAUAGCGUGAGAGGGUGACGGUCGCGCGAGGAGAGACACAGGGACAGAGAGACGAGGUGAAGUAUAAGUUUGAAAGACAAAAACAAGAGACUGGGGUGGAAUAACCGUAAGCGUCAGAGGGUUAUGGAGGCAAGACGAAGUUAAAGAGGGAGGGAGGAGAAAGAUACGUAAGAAGGAGAGGCGAGGGAUAAAAACUGAAAGACGGAAAGAAGAAACAGAGACGAGGUGAAGUAUAAAGGUUGAAAGACAAAAACAAGAGACUGGACCAGAAUAACCGUAAGCGUCAGAGGGUUAUGGAGGCAAGACGAAGUUAAAGAGGGAGGAAGGAGACAGACAUGCGUAAGAAGACGAGGAGAGGGAUAAAAACUGAAAGACGGAGAGAAGAAACUAAAAUGGAGUAAUCCUUAGCUUGAGAGGGUGAUGGUGGCAAGGCGGAUUUAUUGUUUUUUACAGCAAAGGAAGCAGCUCAAGGGCAAAAAACUGUAAUAAUGAGAAGAAAAAGCCCGCUAAUCACUGCCCCUAUAAAAAAAGAGUUAAGAAGUGUAAAAAAGAGAGGUUAGUUUCAGGAGGAAGAGGUCAAUUUCGGGAGGAAGAGGUCAGUCUCGGGAGGAAGAUGUCAGUUUCGUUAGGAAGAGGUCAAUUUCGGGAGGAUUAACAGAGGGAGGAAGGAGAAGAAAGACACGUAUGAAGAAGACGAGGCGAGGGAUAAAAGGUGCAAGGAAGAGGUCAAUUUCGCUAAGGAGAGGUCAAUUUCGGGAGGAUAAACAGAGGGAGGAAGAAAAAGAAAGACACGUAAGAAGAAGACGAGGCGAGGGAUAAAAGAUGAAAGACAGAAACAAGAGACUGAAGUGGAAUAUAAUCGCCCUGACACCUGAUCGUUGUAUACACUGAUGAAACGCCUGAAGAGGGAUGAACAACAUGUCGAGAGGGUGGAGGAAUGCGGGGAGGGUGGAAGUUAGUUUUAAUAAAGAACAGAACUAAAUACGAGGCUCGAUUGAAUAUAAAAAUAGCCCAAUACGCGAUGGCUCGACACUUGAAGGCCUUGAGUACGUGUGUGUAUAUCGAAUGUGAGGAAGGCGAAGGAGAGGAAGGUGGAAGAGGGAAACAAAACUAAACACACAGAGCAAGAUUUAAAGAGGAAACAAGCAAGUAAGCGAUGGCUGUACUCUAGAUUAAGGGACUUGAGUAGGUGUGUAUCGAGUGAGGAAAGGCGUACAGAGAGGAAGGUGGAAGAGGGAAACAAAACUAAGCCCACAUUGCAAGAUUUAAAGAGGGAACAAGCAAGUAAGCGAUGGCUGUACUCUAAAUAAAGGGACCUGAGUAAGUGUGUAUCGAGUGAGGAAAGGCGUACAGAGAGGAAGGUGGAAGAGGGAAACAAAACUAAGCCCACAUUGCAAGAUUUAAAGACAAAACAAGCAAGCAAGAACGCAAUAUCUGUAGCUACAAUAGAAGAACUUAACAAGGAGGUGUGUGCUGUGAGUAUAGAAGAGUUAAUUAAAAUAGAACUUGGAAAAAUGGAAACUGAUCUGAACACUGCUAAGAUUUUAAAAGAAGAACACUCUCCGACAUUCAGAGGCUAUACGGACUAGAAAAGAAUAGCCAUGUGUCUAAAGGGCGUAAGGAAGAAGCAGGAUAAAAGUGGAAAGAAGAGAAAGUAAAAUUAAGUCCAUCCUGGUGUGUUCUGCUUCAUUGCAAACUGUCUCGUGUGUGUCUGAACUACCUGACUAACCGCAACGCAAUGCUAGAUAAAAAAAAAAAGAGCUCAAUGCACGGUGGUUAUACAGAAGUAGGAACUGAAUAUGCAAGAUGUUGAGUGGGUGCACGGGUGAACGGAGGGGGAUAGAAGAAGAGUAAGAGGACAAGGAAGCAAAAUAGAACACGAGGGACAGCUAAAAUUAAAAGGAAAAAAUAGUUAAACCACACGAUCGCAGCUGUCCAAUGGGAGGCGUUCGAGGGGGCGUGUGGCGAGAUGGUGGGUGGAUGUUAAAGCAGCGAAGGACGGAAGUUAAAAAGAGAAAACCGAAUCUAACACAUUGGUAAACUUUAAAGGCAAAAACAGACCAACACACGAGGCGGUAUACGGUUGGAGGCGGAAGAGGAUGAAGAGUCUGAGCAAGGAAACGAAAGUAAUGGUGGAUUUAAGAGCAGCGAAGAAGAGGUUGAAAAGAGAAAACCAGAUCUAACACAAUGAAUGGCAAACUUUAAAAGGCAGGAGCAGACCAACACGCGAGAAAAAAAUAAUGAAACUAAUAAAAAAAAUCAGUGUAUAAGAAAAAGCACAAAAAAUAAUAAAAAAUAACGUAUAGGAGCAAAGAGAGGAGUAAACGACGAAAACGAGGCGGUAUAGGCUACGGUAGGAGGCGAAAGAGGAUGAGGAAUCUGAGCAACUAGGAAACGAAAGUACACACACACAAUGCAGGAAUUUAAAAGGAAAUCACGCCAACACAACAGGAGGCGGCGGAACAAUAAAAGGGACUUGAGAAGGUGCGUAGGUAUGUGUCGAUAUAGAGAGAGUGGACGACGGCGGAGGAUGAAAAAAUCUGCAGCAGGAAACGAAUAACACACAACCUUAGAUUAUACAGAGGUAAGUUCAUACGAAUUGGUUCUACAGCGGAAGGAGUUGAGUAGGUAAGUGUUGAGAAAGGUGACGGCAGCGGAAGAUGAAUAUAUUGAAAAGGACACGAAAUAACACACAAUAUUCGAUUCUGAAGGGAGAUUCACAGCAAAAGAAGUUGAGUAGAUGUGUGCUGGGAAGGCGUCGGGCGGAGGGCGGGCAGCGGGCGGCUCCUGAAAUACCCGCCCAUCCGACAUUCCCGAGGCACAGCUGAGCGCCCGACAAAUCACUAUUUAUAAGACCAGGGCACGGCGCUCCCUCCCUCCCUCCCAGCUACCUGUCCUUAUC